rnacentral:rRNA from 1 species
UACAGAGGUCUCAAGCGUUGUUCGGAUUCAUUGGGCUUAAAGGGCGCGUAGGCGGCGGUGUAAGUUGGAAGUGAAAUCCCAUCGGCUCAACCGUGGAAUUGCUCCCAGUACUGCAUCGCUCGAGGGGGAUAGGGUUUGCGGAACUACCGGUGGAGCGGUGAAAUGUGUUGAUAUCGGUGGGAACGCCAGUGGCGAAAGCGGCAAACUUGACCUUCCUGACGCUGAGGCGCCGAAAGCUAGGGGAGCAAACGGG